AAUCCCGUGAACCAUCGAGUCUUUGAACGCAAGUUGCGCCCGAAGCCAAUAGGCCGAGGGCACGCCUGCCUGGGCGUCACGCAUCGCGUCGCCCCCCUCCCUCCGCCCGCCCGGACGCGGCUGCGGAUGCUGGGAGGGGUGGAAAUUGGCCUCCCGUGGGAUCCCCCCCGCGGCCGGCCC
rnacentral:rRNA from 1 species